GGAGCGGGUCGGACGGUCGCCGGGGCAACCCGGAGGAAGGUCCGGACUCCUGCGGGCAGGAUGCUGGCUAACGGCCAGGCGCCAUAAGGACAAAGUGGGGCGGCGUCCCACUUUGUCCCCAAAGCGACGGACAGUGGCACAGAAAACAGACCGCCCGGCAGCUCAGCCUGCCGGGUAAGGGUGAAAAGGUGGGGUAAGAGCCCACCGCGCGGCUGGUGACAGGCGUGGCACGCCAAACCCCAUCCGGAGCAACAUCAUGUAGGCACGCGACGCAGCCUCGGCUGCACAGGGCGCCCGCCCGAGCGUGCGGGUGGAUGGCUAGAGCCGGCCGGCAACGGUUGGCCCAGAUGAAUGACCGUCACACCUUCCCAGGUGGACAGAAUCCGGCCUACAGACCCGCUCCAUCC
rfam:Lautropia mirabilis ATCC 51599 genomic scaffold SCAFFOLD1, whole genome shotgun sequence.